CAGAGGGUGCGAGCGUUAAUCGGAAUUACUGGGCGUAAAGCGUGCGUAGAUGGUUAUGUAAGUCGGAUGUGAAAGCCCAGGGCUCAACCUUGGAAUUGCAUUCGAGACUGCAUAGCUAGGAUGCGGAAGAGGGAAGCGGAAUUUCCGGUGUAGCGGUGAAAUGCGUAGAUAUCGGAAGGAACACCAGUGGCGAAAGCGGCUUCCUGGUCCAGCAUCGACGUUCAGGCACGAAAGCGUGGGGAGCAAACAGAAUUAGAUACCCUGGUAGUCCACGCCAUAAACGAUGACAACUAGACGUUGAGAGGGUAAGCCUCCCAGUGUCGCAGCUAACGCGUUAAGUUGUCCGCCUGGGGAGUACGGCCGCAAGGUUG
rnacentral:rRNA from 1 species